rnacentral:rRNA from 1 species
AGUGAACGCUGGCGGUAGGCCUAACAUAUGCAAGUCGAACGGCAGCACAGUAAGAGCUUGCUCUUACGGGUGGCGAGUGGCGGACGGGUGAGGAAUACAUCGGAAUCUACUUUUUCGUGGGGGAUAACGUAGGGAAACUUACGCUAAUACCGCAUACGACCUACGGGUGAAAGCAGGGGAUCUUCGGACCUUGCGCGAUUGAAUGAGCCGAUGUCGGAUUAGCUAGUUGGCGGGGUAAAGGCCCACCAAGGCGACGAUCCGUAGCUGGUCUGAGAGGAUGAUCAGCCACACUGGAACUGAGACACGGUCCAGACUCCUACGGGAGGCAGCAGUGGGGAAUAUUGGACAAUGGGCGCAAGCCUGAUCCAGCCAUACCGCGUGGGUGAAGAAGGCCCUCGGGUUGUAAAGCCCUUUUGUUGGGAAAGAAAAGCAGCAGGUUAAUACCCCGCUGUUCUGACGGUACCCAAAGAAUAAGCACCGGCUAACUUCGUG